CUUGACCCCCCCAUAAGAGGUCCAGCCUGCCCAGUGACACUGUUCAACGGCCGCGGUAUCCUAACCGUGCGAAGGUAGCGUAAUCACUUGCUCUUUAAAUGAGGGCUAGUAUGAAAGGCACCACGAGAGUCAUACUGUCUCCUUUCUCAAAUCAGUGAAACUAAUCCCUCCGUGAAGAAGCGGGGAUAAAAAUAUAAGACGAGAAGACCCUAUGGAGCUUUAAACAAACAAUACUUGCCUGCCUCUUUUUAAUUCCAGAAAAACUAUCUACCCCGGCACUAUAAUUACUAGUUUUCGGUUGGGGUGACCGCGGAACAAAAACCAACCUCCGCAAUGAAAAUAUUCCCUCCUCUAAGUUAAGGACUACAAUCCUAUGCAUCAACAUAUUGACAUCGAUUGACCCAACAUAUUGAUCAAUGAAC
rnacentral:rRNA from 1 species